UACGAGGGGGGCGAGCGUUGUUCGGAAUUACUGGGCGUAAAGGGCACGUAGGCGGCUUUACAAGUCAGGGGUGAAAUCCCACAGCUCAACUGUGGAACUGCCUUUGAAACUGUAAAGCUAGAGUGUCGGAGGGGAUAGCGGAAUUGCUAAUGUAGAGGUGAAAUUCGUAGAUAUUAGCAGGAACACCGGUGGCGAAGGCGGCUAUCUGGACGACAACUGACGCUGAGGCGCGAAAGCAUGGGGAUCAAACAGG
rnacentral:rRNA from 1 species